GGAGAACCAGCAAGGACCUGCUGGACAGCACAGGGAACUCUGGUCAGUGUCACGUGGUGGCCUGGAUGAGAGGGGAGUUUGGGGGAGAAUGGAUACGUGUGUAUGUGUGGGUGAGUCCCUUCGUUGACCGCCUGAAACCAUCCCAACAUUGUUCAUCAGCUCUACCUCAAAACAAAAUGAAAAGUUUAAAGCAAGAAUAACCUGGUUCUUCGCAACUAGAGAUGGUCCUGUGAAGUGAGUUAAGUCAGACAGAGAUGAAUGCCAGAUGAUGUCACUCAGCUGUGAAGUGCAAAAUAUGACACAAGAUGAAUUGACCCGAGAAAGAGAAGCAGAGUCCCAGACACAGAGGACAGAACAGCAGUUGCCAAGGGAACCGUCCUGGGGAAUUCUUUGACCCCACCCCGCUCCCCAGGGACCUAAGGAUGUGACUGCAUUUGGAGAUGAGGGUCUUUGAAGACGGGGAUGAAGCUGAAAUGAGGUCACUAGGGUGGGUCCUGACCCAAAGAACUGGGGUCCUCAUGUCAAGAGGGGAUGAGGACCCAGAAACACACACCCAGGGGCGAGCUCGUGAGCACACGGGGAGGAGACGGCCGUCCACACGCCCAGCAGAGAGGCCUCGGGAGGAGCCAGCCCUGCCCACACCUGGGUCUCACGUUAUAGCCUCCGUGACUUGGGGCCAUGAACGUCUAUGAUUUGAGACACUGAGUCUGCGGUACUUUGUCAUGAUGGCCCCCAGGGGAGUCAUGCAUUCCUUUAACGCUCUAUCAAAGCUCAGUUGGAGAUUUUAGGGGGCACGGUUGGCAAUUGGAACCCCAAUUAUUUUCCGUUUCUGUCCACAGGUGAUCCCUGGCACGGAAGCCACUAGACCUCAAGCAAGAGUCAUCAGUUUCAAGCAGGCGUCGUCAAGCUACCGAUUUCUCGACUAAGGUUAUAAAGAGUUCAAGGCAUUUCUGUAAUGCUGGGUGAAUUAAACAUCCACAUUUUCCCCUGACAUUUUUAGUAGUAAAGCAUUAAAAUAUAGGCCAUUAAAAUUUGUGGCCACGUGGGGUUUUUGAAGAGUGAUUUUUUUUUUCAUACGUACCAUUGGCUUUGGUUGGGUUUGGCGACUACCACUUUUUUUAAUCAGGGAAGUGUCGUGGGGAAUUAUUUGAGAACGUGUGGAUGACCUUGAAUUUUAUGUCCUGGGCAGAGUGGAGUGUUUCUCUUGUCCCCGCCAAAGCCCAUAAAAGCCAGGGAUUGAAUGUUCAUAGCCCUGGCCCAAAGACAGCCUUGCAAAGCUGAGGGUCGGGAAGCCAUUCGUUUGUUUCCCUUGGCUGUUUAUGACUGAAGUAUAGUGGAUUUACAGCGUCGUGUUCAUUUAUUCUAUGCAGCACACCGACUCAG
ensembl:lncRNA